UACGUAGGGUGCGAGCGUUAAUCGGAAUUACUGGGCGUAAAGCGUGCGCAGGCGGUUCGCUGUGUCCGAUGUGAAGGCCCCGGGCUUAACCUGGGAAUGGCAUUGGAAACUGGCGGGCUUGAGUGUGGCAGAGGGGGGUGGAAUUCCGCGUGUAGCAGUGAAAUGCGUAGAGAUGCGGAGGAACACCGAUGGCGAAGGCAGCCCCCUGGGCUAACACUGACGCUCAGGCACGAAAGCGUGGGGAGCAAACAGG
rnacentral:rRNA from 1 species